rnacentral:rRNA from 1 species
UACGAAGGGGGCUAGCGCUGCUCGGAAUUACUGGGCGUAAAGGGCGCGUAGGCGGCACUGUUAGUCAGGCGUGAAAGUCCUGGGCUCAACCUGGGAACUGCGCUUGAUACGGCAGAGCUAGAGGAUGGAAGAGGCUCGCGGAAUUCCCAGUGUAGAGGUGAAAUUCGUAGAUAUUGGGAAGAACACCGGUGGCGAAGGCGGCGAGCUGGUCCAUUACUGACGCUGAGGCGCGACAGCCGUGGGGAGCAAACAGG